rnacentral:rRNA from 1 species
AGUGAACGCUGGCGGUGGGCCUAACACAUGCAAGUCGAACGGCAGCACAGUAAGAGCUUGCUCUUACGGGUGGCGAGUGGCGGACGGGUGAGGAAUACAUCGGAAUCUACUUUUUCGUGGGGGAUAACGUAGGGAAACUUACGCUAAUACCGCAUACGACCUACGGGUGAAAGCAGGGGAUCUUCGGACCUUGCGCGAUUGAAUGAGCCGAUGUCGGAUUAGCUAGUUGGCGGGGUAAGGCCCACCAAGGCGACGAUCCGUAGCUGGUCUGAGAGGAUGAUCAGCCACACUGGAACUGAGACACGGUCCAGACUCCUACGGGAGGCAGCAGUGGGGAAUAUUGGACAAUGGGCGCAAGCCUGAUCCAGCCAUACCGCGUGGGUGAAGAAGGCCUUCGGGUUGUAAAGCCCUUUUGUUGGGAAAGAAAAGCAGCAGGUUAAUACCCCGCUGUUCUGACGGUACCCAAAGAAUAAGCACCGGCUAACUUCGUG